UUUUCAGUGUCGCAGCGAAAGCGAUAAACACACCGCCUGGGGAGUACGACCGCAAGGUUAAAACUCAAAUGAAUUGACGGGGACCCGCACAAGUAGUGGAGCAUGUGGUUUAAUUCGAAGAUACGCGCAGAACCUUACCAACACUUGACAUGUUCGUCGCGACUUUAAGAGAUUAAAGUUUUCGGUUCGGCCGGACGAAACACAGGUGCUGCAUGGCUGUCGUCAGCUCGUGUCGUGAGAUGUUGAGUUAAGUCCCGCAACGAGCGCAACCCUCACUUUUAGUUGCCAUCAUUUAGUUGGGCACUCUGAAAGAACUGCCAGUGAUAAGCUGGAGGAAGGUGGGGAUGACGUCAAGUCCUCAUGGCCCUUACGUGUUGGGCUACACACGUGCUACAAUGGUAUUUACAAUAGGAUGCAAGGUGGCGACAUCAAGCAAAUCCUAAAAAAGUACCUCAGUUCGGAUUGCACUCUGCAACUCGAGUGCAUGAAGCUGGAAUUACUAGUAAUCGCGGAUCAGCGUGCCGCGGUGAAUACGUUCCCGGGUCUUGUACACACCGCCCGUCACACCAUGGGAGUUGGUUCUACCUUAAGGCAAAGUUUAAAACCUUUGACCACGGUAUAGUCAGCGACUGGGGUGAAGUCGUAACAAGGUAGCCGUAGGGGAACCUGCGGCUGGAUUACCUCCUU
rnacentral:rRNA from 1 species